UCUGCCUUCAACUCCCCGCUGAAAAUCGCCAGUUUCGUUUCCGUCACGAACAACGUCGACGAAGACGAUGUGCUUCAUGAUUACACGGCUCUACUCUUGGAAGACAUUGAGAGGUUCGAUCAAGAACGCAGGGAUCGGGAAGCAUGCGAGAAUUUGAUGCGAGAAAUGAGAGAGGAUUUGGACCGUCGGAUUCAUGAUCAGAAUCUGGCUAACGAAAUAUUGAACAUCCCCGAUGACGAGUGGGAGAAUUACGGGGAUCACUAUCAUAGGCCGUAUGGAGAUGACGGCGGCUCUAGCUCUUCUUUUCCGUUGAUUAACGAGUUAGCACUUGUGAAUAGUGAGAGUUUUAAGGUGUAUUGUAAAGGACUGAAGAGUAAAGAGAUGAUUAGGGAAAUGAAUGUUGUAGUAGGUGGGGUUGGUGUGGCAAUUUGUGAUUCGAGGGACAAUGUGAUUUUUGAGGUGAGUAAGGGUUUGGAGGAGGAUUCUUGUGGUAAAGGGAAAGACGUGAGUAGUGAAGAGGCGGUUCAGAUUGAGGCUUUGAUUGAAGGGUUGAAUGCGGCUUUGAGUUUGGAUUUGAAAAACGUCACCUUCUUUUGUGAUGACUUUAUGGUAUAUCAAUAUGUGACAGGAAGAGUUCAACCAAUUCAAAAUAGAAUUUCAACCUUAGUCAAUACAAGCCUUCAUUUGCCCCUUCUCAACUGUUGAUUAUAAUUGAGUUUUUAUUUGAAUGGGC
rnacentral:misc_RNA from 1 species